GCCUACCUUUGGGAUCAAUGGUGCCCUGUUUUUUCCAGCUUGUGCAGGUUCUGAAUGGCAAACAGCACCGUCAUCCACGUCCAUAUUGAUUCCUCAGACUAGUAUCGAUCAGCCUGGUGACAUAUAGUGGGAGUUGUCACCUGGGAGGAUGUUGCAGGGGAGCAAAAUGAACUUGCCAGAUCUGCAGAUCGACAGGCAUGAAAGUGGAACCACAAACAUGGACUCAACUUCAGCCUUUCACUGGAGGAAAUUUCUGUUCCUGCUGAAAAAGUAAUUUCUCCAUGCUCUUUGGGAUACAUAGCUAUAGUGCAUGGAGGGCUCAUCUAGGCUGUGUUUAUCUGGCAACAGAAAGCCUCCA